AGACAAGAAAUAAUAGCAAACAGAGAGUGUGUCCAUCUGUAGGACUUGGUAACAAACACGCUGUCCUGUUCGCUUCCCAUCUAAGGGCCAGACCUCUCCAUUGCACCACUGAUGUUGGGUAAACAUUUUGGAGGUCAACUCUCCGAAGUUUUCCAAGAUGGCAAAGCCUUUGCCCUGCUCCUGGAUGGACUGUAAAGCUCAUCUUUCUUCCCACUGUAUACCCAAGUGGUCCCAGACUCCCAGGGCUUGGAAAGCACCUCUCCAAUUUUACCAUUGCUAUCAUGGCAUUAUUCUGGGAUCAGCGUUUAUCUUCUGCACCAAGAAGAUAAGGCUGAGGUCUACUUUCCCAGGCCUGUGAAGGAUGAAAACAGGAAGAGGCUGGUUUCACAGCACAGCGAUCGGGAACAUUGGUUUGUCAGAGUCUCUUCAGCCGGACAUCUGAGGCGUUCUUAUUAUGGCCUCCACAACUACUCAGCCUGUCCAAGGCCCCAGCAAGUUGCAAUGGAAAGCCCAUUUAAAAUACUUCCCACGUGUUUCCACCCUUUCUCUCAGUAGCUCAAUACACAGCUUGGAAACUACUCCUCCAA